AGGGCAGUGACUAUGAGACCUUCAAAAACUUCUUUGUGGAAGCCUCUAUGUCAGUGGUCCUGAAACUGUUCCCACAGCUGGAGGGGAAGGUGGAGAGUGUGACUGCAGGAUCCCCACUCACCAACCAGUUCUGGCUGCUCCCCGAGGUGUCUGCUACAGGGCUGACCAUGACCUGGGCCGCCUGCACCCUCGUGUGAUGGCCUUGAAGGCCCAGAGCCCCAUCACCAACCUCUGACAGGUAUACUCACUGCCCCAUGUUGUCAGGACCUGAGACCCUGGGCCCCUGUCGCCCAACGUCCUCUGUUCCUGCCCUCAGGCCCUGCUGUCCCCUGCAGCCUCCCAUCCCCUGAGCAGGGCUGCCUGGGCAGGCUGUGGCCCCUGUCUGAUUGGAGCCAGCUCUGGGUGGCCCUCAUGUGGAGGGAAGAGCACCAAGGCCCCACCCUCCCCUGGGCCUGCCUGGGUGCACACUCAGGGGCCUCUGCUCUUGCCUCCUAGGCCAGGGUAUCUUCACCUGUGGACUGGUAGGGGCCCUGCAAGGUGCCCUGCUGUGCAGCAGCGCCAUCCUGAAGUGGAACUUGUACUCAGACCUUAAGGAUCUUGUCUCUAGGAUCUGGGCACAGAAGAAUUAGUUCCAUCAGGGAGGAGUCAGAGGAAUUUGCCCAAUAGCUGGGGCAUUAGUUCCUUGCACAUAUAAACCACUCUUAUUUGGUUCUGAUGCCUGAAGAGAGGCCUAGUUUAAAUCACAAUUCCGAAUCUGGGGCAAUGGAAUCACUGUUUCCAGCUGGGGCAGGUGAGAUCUUUCCACCUUCUAUAAUAUGCCAUCCCUACUAAUAGGAUAUUGACUUGGAUAGCUUGAUGUCUCAUGACGAGCGGCGCUCUGCAUCCCUCACCCAUGCCUCCUAACUCAGUGAUCAAAGCGAAUAUUCCAUCUGUGGA
rnacentral:lncRNA from 1 species